ensembl:snoRNA SNORA70 Small nucleolar RNA SNORA70
UCACAAACAAAAGAACACCAAUUGUGCUCCUUUCCUCCUGGGGGCCCAGUGUGCAAUGGCUGCAAACAGCUGUCUCACUGGUAGUGUACACAGCCUGUUGCUUGUAUGGGUUGGCCUAAGAAACCUUAAGAGACAGCC